GACGAACGCUGGCGGCGUGCUUAACACAUGCAAGUCGAACGGAAAGGCCCUGCUUUUGUGGGGUGCUCGAGUGGCGAACGGGUGAGUAACACGUGAGUAACCUCCCCUUGACUUUGGGAUAACUUCAGGAAACUGGGGCUAAUACCGGAUAGGAGCUCCUGCUGCAUGGUGGGGGUUGGAAAGUUUCGGCGGUUGGGGAUGGACUCGCGGCUUAUCAGCUUGUUGGUGGGGUAGUGGCUUACCAAGGCUUUGACGGGUAGCCGGCCUGAGAGGGUGACCGGCCACAUUGGGACUGAGAUGGGGCCCAGACUCCUACGGGAGGCAGCAGUGGGGAAUAGUGCACAAUGGGCGGAAGCCUGAUGGAGCAACGCCGCGUGCGGGAUGACGGCCUUCGGGUUGUAAACCGCUUUCGCCUGUGACGAAGCGUGAGUGACGGUAAUGGGUAAAGAAGCACCGGCUAACUACGUG
rnacentral:rRNA from 1 species